rnacentral:rRNA from 1 species
GACGAACGCUGGCUGCGUGCUUAACACAUGCAAGUCGAACGAAGUGGCGAACGGGUGAGUAACGCGUAAUCAACCUGCCCUUCAGAGGGGGACAACAGUUGGAAACGACUGCUAAUACCGCAUACGGAAGGAGGGGAUUGCGUCUGAUUAGCUAGCUGGAGGGGUAACGGCCAACCAAGGGGAUGAGCAGUAGCCGGUCUGAGUAGAUGAGCGGCGACAUUGGGACUGAGACACGGCCCAGACUCCUACGGGAGGCGGCAGUGGGGAAUCUUCCGCAAUGGAAGAAAGUCUGACGGAGCAACGCCGCGUGAGUGAUGACGGCCUUCGGGUUGUAAAGCUCCGUUAGUCGGGACGCGGUACCGGAAUAGAAAGCCACGGCUAACUACGUGCCAGCAGCCGCGGUAAUUC